AACGAACGCUGGCGGCAGGCUUAACACAUGCAAGUCGAACGGUUGCAGCAAUGCAGCAGUGGCAGACGGGUGAGUAACACGUGGGAACCUUCCUAGGGGUACGGAACAACUCAGGGAAACUUGAGCUAAUACCGUAUACGUCCGUGAGGAGAAAGAUUUAUCGCCCUUAGACGGGCCCGCGUCGGAUUAGCUAGUUGGUGGGGUAACGGCCUACCAAGGCGACGAUCCGUAGCUGAUCUUAGAGGAUGAUCAGCCACACUGGGACUGAGACACGGCCCAGACUCCUACGGGAGGCAGCAGUGGGGAAUCUUGGACAAUGGGCGCAAGCCUGAUCCAGCCAUGCCGCGUGAGUGAAGAAGGUCUUCGGAUUGUAAAGCUCUUUUGCCAGGGACGAUAAUGACGGUACCUGGAGAAUAAGCCCCGGCAAACUUCGUGCCAGCCGCCGCCGUAAAAC
rnacentral:rRNA from 1 species